UUUUUUUAAGUCUAAGAAAUUUCAAUAUUUUUUAUAAAUUUGAAUUAGUUUUCAAAAUUGUGUCAUGCCAUUGAAAUCGUCUCUUAAAGAUUUUUCAUAUGAUACUAAACUUGCAUAUGAUUAAUUUGCCAAAAAUGAGAAAAAUGUGAUAAAACCUUAAAAAAGGACCAUUUCAUCGUUUGAUUCAGCUCACCAAAAAUUGAGUAAUGAUCAACAAUAAAGCAGUAUUCGAUCGUAUAUUGAUUAUAUCUUAAAGAGAUGAUCAAGUCGAAAAUACCAAACAACUUGUACAACAUGCUGAUUUCCUAACACUAUGAGAUUACAACUAAAUUUUUCACAAAAGGACACCUUCAAAGAUCAUGUGUUUGUAAUGUGUUGUUGUCACUCAAGGAUGAUUUCCAGGAACAUAAGUUUGUAAUUCAACUAAUAAUGGUUUGUAUAAGGCUUCCCUGGAUAUUGGCUGCCACAGAAGGAUGACUUCCAAGAAUAUAAUUGAACUAUAAAGGUUGUAUAAAGAUUCCGUGUGAAUAUCAACUAAUUCGUUUAAAAUAGAAUGAAUGCUGAAAUAGCUUAAGAAUGUGAAACUUAUGAUAUUCAACAAUAAAGUAAACAUUUAGCAAAUCCACUUAGAAAAAGAAAAACUUGUAAACGAUUAAGUGUAAUUCUGUAUAAUAAAAAAGUUUACAUUAAAAUUGAAAACCUUACAGUAAAAUUAACUAUGUAC